UGUAGCCAUCUAUUCAAAUAUAUUUUUUCCCUUGAUUUUUCUGUAUGGGCAGUAGGAAUCACAAUAUCACCUGCUCAUUAACAUUAGGAUUGAUUAUAAUUAGGGCUGUCAAAAUAACACGUUAAUUGCAAUUAAUUCAUUACAGAAAUAUUAAUAUGCUAAAAAAUGUAACGCUGAUUAAUCGCAUUUUAUAGUGACAUUUGACCCAGUGCAGUCUAGCUUUCAUGACUGAAGGAGGCAGACAAGAAAGCACUGCUUUGAAUGAAACAUUUAGCUUAGGCCUAUAAAGAAUGCUCAGACCAAUAUACUGUCGACAGGAGCAUCAAUCUACUAUUUCUUCAGUAAGGAAUUUCCGUUGCUUACCAUAGGAGUUUGCCAAGUCUUUGCCAAGUAGCACCUCAAUGCAAAACAAUCCAGAGUUAGGCCUACGAGUUAGCACACUGAUGAUGAUAAUGCUAGCCACCAGCCUUGUCAAAGUUAACUUUGCUAACGUUUUGCUGAGCCUACCCUAUGACCGACUAACUAACUAACCAACAAACUCCCUUAAUACAUUGACUACAUUUGUUGCAUAUUUGAAACAAGAAGUCUUCAAAAGUAUGUAGAAGGUGGUUACAUGUAUUUCUAUUCCAAUAACUUCACACAUUACAUUUCCAUUUGCACUUGUAGGCUAUGCUGCAUUAAUUAAUUUCUUUGUUCCUACUAUUGAACUGCUAUUUCUUAUCCUGGACUGCCACCUACUGGAUAGAAAAGGCAAUAACCUAGUAAUUAUGUGAAUUAAAAUCUACACGUUUGAAUGGCCAAAAAAAAAGAUAAAUCAUAGGUGGUAUUCCACACAUGUUAGGGUAGCCUACUCUGCACAUGUCAUUGACAGUGAGUGGUAACUUCAGUCAUUUGCAUUUAUCAUGCUAAAAAUCUGACACCAGGCACUAUGCUGAUGCCUAUCAAAGGGGAAAUUAUAAUAAAAGAGAGAGACGUUGAACUUUAAGGUCUAUAAUGUUGGUUUGGCUGUUCAUUGAUUCACUCAUCUUGUUUUUAAGAUAUGUUCAUAGCAAAAAUGGAUGCAUGGAAAUAAUUUAGGUUAAUGUCACAGAGUGUGUAAUUAAUUAGAUUAAAUGUUUUAAUCGAUUGACAGCCCUAAUUAUAAUGUCUCCCUUUACAUACAUGUACUACAUACUGUACUAUGUUUUUUUUUUGUGGUUUAGGGAGCAUAAUACUAGGGAUGCUAUCUCCUGCUAAAUGUAAUUUUUGUAGAGGUCUGUGGAAUUGUUUUUGAGUCAUAUCUAACAACAGUUGUGGCUGACACAAGUGAGGAGUAAUAACUAUUUUGUAAUCAAAAUUCAUGUGUAUAUCCACAGGUUCAUAUAGGACCUUCCACUUCAAUAACCCAGCAUCAAUAUGGUUCAAUCAAGUGGUUUAAUGCUAAAAAGGCCACAAAGGACCUUCUUCUGGCCGUGUUUGGGAGGAGCAUACUUGCCAGCCACUCCUACACUGGCAAACAGUCCAAUGCUUUCCGGACUAAAGCAGCUAAACCCCAGCUUAACCCGGUCAAAGUGAGCGACAUUAUAAAUUACAUCACUAAACGGUUUGGGGUCGACCAGGGGGAGGUAAAGGCCAUCUCCGAGAAAUGUGCGGAUCAGGAAAAGAUGGAGAAGAGGCGGACACAUUGACUGACACACACACACACUGAUUAUUUGUAACAGUAAUUUUUGUUAUUGUUGUUAUUUCUUUGUUUGUUUGUUUUUUUGUUUAUUUAUUUAUAUUUAAUAAUAAAUAUAAUUACUUCA